UCACCUCCUGGCGAUCCUUAGCCUGUAAUCGGAGUCUCAUCACAGUGUGAACAACUGAGAGCCUGCUCUGUUGUGUCAGGUUCAUACUGCAGCCUCUUUGUAACUCCCCUCAAAACAGGAAAAAGAACCUGAUGCUUCAUCCCUGGUUAUUUUUAAAGAGGAACUCAGUGAAAGGACGAGGGCAAAGGUUGCUGUCUGUCUUGUGCCGCACUUCUGCAGACCUCAGGGCCCUUGCUCACUGACGUCCACUUCAGCAGAGCUGCCAGAACUGUCUCCACAGACUGCCCAGAGCUCACCCGUACAGGAGCCCGUCCUGCCACCAAGGUAACCAAGACUAGGAAGCAAUUGAAACUGUGCCUUCCUUUCCCAGGCCUGUGGCUGUCAGCUUGCUCAGAAUGAGGCAGACUGAUGACUUUGUCUUCUUACCCGCACAGUUCUCAUUUGAGCCUGGUCACAUGGCUGUGCCUUCUGGUGGCCAAACAAGGAUACGCUGUUUCCAUUCUUUGCACCCUGGGUUUGGCCUGGCCAUCUUUAGAUGAAACCAUUGGGACCCCCAAACCUUGAAGCUUUUCCAAGGACAAAUUGCAUGCAGAGGUGGAAGGAGGAGCCAAGCUGUGCAGUGGAGCAGCAAUGGUGUGCAGUCGGAUGCCUGAAAGAGCCAGGGGGUUAGUUCACUGCUGCUCUGAAUACUCGGGCACACCAGCAAACUCAGAUUAAUAGGCUGUUUAUUCUUCAGCAUGUUCCUGGAAUCAAAGGCUCUGGAUGGGAUUAUUAAAGAGUGUUUGAGAGAGCUCCCUGGAACCCUCCUCCUGGGCUCCGCUCACUGAAGAGGAACGAUUGAGGUCUUUCAUUUCCUGGGCAGCAUCUUUCUUGCUCAGUGCUCACUGCAGCGGAAAGGUCUGCAGUAGCUUUGUUAGAAGCACAGUCUUUGUUCCGUCCUUAUGAAGUCCAUUACCUACAGCACCUUGGUCCACUAACUCUAAUCAUUUAAUGUUCUGGCCUCAAGCUGCCUGAAACUGAUGAAUGUAGUCCGUGCUAUCUCAGCAAGUGGUUUUGUUUUAGCUUUUGUCUCUAUUGGACAACAAUUCCAUGUUUGGACAUUAUUUUUAUUUCUAAAAUCAUUGUUUAAAUGAAAUUUUCCAGGAAGAAAGACUUAGUCAUAUGUACUGUAUUUUGUGAAGCAAUGGAGGCAGAAGGGCAUAUGUUUUUUUAAUUCCCCUGGAAUUAAAUUUUCUUUAGACCUUGGG
rnacentral:lncRNA from 1 species